GACGAACGCUGGCGGUGUGCUUAAUACAUGCAAGUCGAACGAUGAGGCCCUUUCGGGGGUACAUCAGUGGCGGACGGGUGAGUAACACGUAGGUAACGUACCCAUACUGGGGGACAACACUUGGAAACGAGUGCUAAUACCGCAUAAGACAUUGGGUGAAAAUCCUAGUGUUUAAAGCUUUUGCGGUAUGGGAGCGGCCUGCGUCGGAUUAGCUUGUUGGUGAGGUAACGGCUCACCAAGGCUACGAUCCGUAGUUGGUCUGAGAGGAUGACCAGCCACAGUGGGACUGAGACACGGCCCACACUCCUACGGGAGGCAGCAGUAGGGAAUAUUGCGCAAUGGGCGAAAGCCUGACGCAGCAACACCGUAUGGAGGAUGAAGUCUUUCGGGAUGUAAACUCCUGUCAGCAGGAAGAUAAUGACGGUACCUG
rnacentral:rRNA from 1 species